UACGUAGGGUGCAGGCGUUACUCGGAAUUACUGGGCGUAAAGCGUGCGCAGGCGGCUCCUUAAGUCAGAUGUGAAAGCCCCGGGCUUAACCCGGGAACUGCGUUUGAAACUGGGGAGCUAGAGUGUGGAAGAGGGGGGUGGAAUUCCAGGUGUAGCAGUGAAAUGCGUAGAGAUCUGGAGGAACACCGAUGGCGAAGGCAGCCCCCUGGGCUAACACUGACGCUCAUGCACGAAAGCGUGGGGAGCAAACAGG
rnacentral:rRNA from 1 species